AUGAUGCAGAUGGUUAUUUCUUCUACCACCAGCGGCACUUCCAUUCCUGCUGGUGCCCUCUAUUUGAAACCGACUGCGCCUCCACGGACGACCACCGGCGCCAUCCGCCCCGUUGUCAUCUUCGACCUCGGCACCACCGACCGCGCCUCCGCGCGCAGCCACCGGUGGCGUCCUCGUCAUCAUCGUCGCCAACCUCGUCGCCGAGCCGCACGGACGUCCGUCGUCGCCGUUCGCCUCGCCGUCGACUCCGGCCUCGUGUUCUCGGCUGCUCGCCUGCAACCUCUGCGGUGGCGGCGCAGGCACGUAGCGCUCCCGCCUCCGGUCCAGCGGCCUGCGGCGGUCUCCGUGGUGGAGGCGCGCUUCGGCGGCGACCUAGGAAACAGCCUCAAGCGACGGCCGUUCGGGAUUGAAGGAAUAAGCUUAUUGAGACGAACAACGUCGAUCGACCAACUCGCCAUUUAUUGCACUAGGCUGAUGGCGGGGCGACCGAUUCACCUUUUUCACUCGACCGGCGAGCGAACAGGCUAUUCCAUUGGUUGGCCUCAGCAUGCAGUCACCGGCGCCAUUCGCCUCGUCGUCGUGUCCGGCUUCGUCUGCGAGGCCGACCGCCGGUUCACUCGGAUAGGACUAAAGUUCACUGGAAUGGCCAUCCACUCGAACGAUUCGCACGCAUGUUCGGACAAAUUGACUCGGAUGGUUAACAAACAACUGCGACAGUCGGACAUGGGCGUUUUGGUCCAGCAAUCACUCGGAUGCUCGCGCAUCAUCACUCUGCGGGUCGCGUCUACUUCUAGCGGACGCACGACGCAUCGUCACUCCGCAGCACGCGUCUACAUCACUCGGACGCCAGCGCAACAUCACUCCGCGCCACGCGUCUACUUCACUCGGCCGCCCCGCGCGUCGCCACUCGGUUGGUCACCUCAUAACCACUCGGCCGCCCCGCGCGUCGCCAUUCGGUUGGUCACCUCAUCACCACUUGGCCGCCCUCACCUCAUCACCACUCGGCCGCCCCGCGCGUCGCCACUCGCCAGUAUUCCAAUGAGUUCGGUCGGAUCCGUCGCUUCGACAAGUUCGAACGGAUCCUUCGCUCUCUCAGACUCUUGCUGGUCAACCAGCAAGCCCCUUGCACUCCCAGCAGUACGCUCGGGGGCUACGCCGCACUCGGGAGCUGCAGCUCAUUCGGAAUUUCUGAAAGGGCUCCCUCUCCUUCGGGCGAGGGUUUUCUCUUCUACCAACCAGGCCGUGCACAUAAUUAAUGAAAAACGGUGUCCGUGGUCUUUUCGUGACUUUGGUUGGAUGGCCAGCUCCCUGUUUGGUGUUCGUGAACGUCCGGACGAGUCCCGGACAUUUGGUGAUGCACAUUUAGAGAUCUACGGUGGACUUGAUCGAAGUUGUUUUUCUUACCUCUCAACCCACGCUGUCUUCAAAUAUAUUCAGGCUGCGUUCGGCUUCGUGAACUCCGUGGAGCGGGGAAGUUCCGAACAGGGCCUCACCAUCCUGGCACUUUCCAUGGCCAGACCAUGUGAGCAGGACAUUCAUCGAUGUUUCUUGCCUUUGUUCUACGUACGUGACAUGGAAAUGUGCAGUGAAGAAAAAAGGAAAGGAAGGGAAGCUUGUGCAGUUUUGGAGCCACAAACUUUAUCAGUUGCUAUGUUCACCAGUGAAACUGUAGUAACUUGUACCCAACGUGCAGCUUCUUCUCCACAUGGCAUUGUCCAGCUCAAGGAUCAGAAGGACAUGACUAUCCCAUGCUAUGAAUGGAGUGGCAUUGCUCAUGAGCUCUCCUCUCGCUGUCUGCAUCGCGAGCCUUGCCUCAGGCUAGUAGCAUUUGAAUCUACGGAUACUGGCCGACGUUUUCUUGCUUGCGCUGAGGAGAAGGCUGAACUAAAGUGCAACUAUCUGGAGUGGAUAGACCCUGAGUGGUCAGUGGCUUUGCAGUUCUGCCUAACUGAAUUGUGGGGCAUGUAUGACAAAGAAAUCAAUGACAGGCCGAGAGACAAUGUUCAGCUUAGUGAACAGAAUUACAAAGUAGUUGGAGAAAAGAGGAAGAUGGAAGAAGAGCUGAGAUUUUUCAAACUUGAUUUUGCAAAAAUGGUGGCUGACAAGGAGGAUGUUAUUACUGAGUUGGGCAAUACUAGGUUGGCUCUCAAUGAUCUGAAAGAGGAGAUGGAGAAGAAGAAGCUGGCAGACCAUGGUUGCACAAACCUACAUCAGUUACUCAGGGCAAAGGCAGAUUUAUCUGUGAAACUGGUGUGA
rnacentral:rRNA from 1 species